rnacentral:rRNA from 1 species
GAUGAACGCUGGCGGCGUGCCUAAUACAUGCAAGUCGAGCGAAUGGAUUAAGAACUUGCUCUUAUGAAGUUAGCGGCGGACGGGUGAGUAACACGUGGGUAACCUGCCCAUAAGACUGGGAUAACUCCGGGAAACCGGGGCUAAUACCGGAUAACAUUUUGAACCGCAUGGUUCGAAAUUGAAAGGCGGCUUCGGCUGUCACUUAUGGAUGGACCCGCGUCGCGUUAGCUAGUUGGUGAGGUAACGGCUCACCAAGGCAACGAUGCGUAGCCGACCUGAGAGGGUGAGCGGCCACACUGGGACUGAGACACGGCCCAGACUCCUACGGGAGGCAGCAGUAGGGAAUCUUCCGCAAUGGACGAAAGUCUGACGGAGCAACGCCGCGUGAGUGAUGAAGGCUUUCGGGUCGUAAAACUCUGUUGUUAGGGAAGAACAAGUGCUAGUUGAAUAAGCUGGCACCUUGACGGUACCUAACCAGAAAGCCACGGCUAACUACGUGCCAGCCGCCGCUGUAA